rnacentral:tRNA from 1 species
GGGGCUGUAGCUCAGGCUGGUAGAGCACCUGCUUUGCAAGCAGGGGGUCGUCGGUUCGAAUCCGAUCAGCUCCA